rnacentral:rRNA from 1 species
GACGAACGCUGGCGGCGUGCUUAACACAUGCAAGUCGAACGGAAAGGCCCUGCUUUUGUGGGGUGCUCGAGUGGCGAACGGGUGAGUAACACGUGAGUAACCUGCCCUUGACUUUGGGAUAACUUCAGGAAACUGGGGCUAAUACCGGAUAGGAGCUCCUGCUGCAUGGUGGGGGUUGGAAAGUUUCGGCGGUUGGGGAUGGACUCGCGGCUUAUCAGCUUGUUGGUGGGGUAGUGGCUUACCAAGGCUUUGACGGGUAGCCGGCCUGAGAGGGUGACCGGCCACAUUGGGACUGAGAUACGGCCCAGACUGCUACGGGAGGCAGCAGUGGAGAAUAUUGCACAAUGGGCGGAAGCCUGAUGCAGCAACGCCGCGUGCGGGAUGACGGCCUUCGGGUUGUAAACCGCUGUCGCCUGUGACGAAGCGUGAGUGACGGUAAUGGGUAAAGAAGCACCGGCUAACUACGUG